UGUAAAAAAAAUCACUUUUUUUUUUAAACGAAAAGCAAAAACACUUUUUACCAAAACAAAAAAUUAUUUUUCUUGAAAAGUUUAAGCGAGUGACGAAGCAAACGUUGUCUAUGUGGCCGGAAAUAUAUUUUAUUUUAAGUUACGUAAUAUGUACCUCAGGGCUGUAUUAAUUUGCAAUUCAACUAAUCCGCGGACACCGUUACAUGAUUGACCAAUAGGAACAUUUGUGAGCGAACAUGGCUGACGCAGUCAUUUCCGGUAAUAAAAUUUGACCAAUCAUCUCAUUGUAAUUUAGGAUCAAUCGUUCACAUACGACGCGAUCAAUAAAAAAUUCCGAUAUUGUUUCGAAUAUCGCAAAAUAGAUGGGAGCCCUUUAAAAAGAUCAACGACACGCAAUUUUCCUGUUCAAUUUUUUCCGGUACUUAAUAUCAUAAACCUUAAUCUUAAUAAAAGGCGCGGCAAUUAUUUCUUUGUAAAUUAUAGUUUGUUUCCAAAAAUAGUUUAUUCAAAAUUCCUUUAAUUGUAUAAGUGCAACAAAGAUAAUCCCUCGAAACUCUGUGUGAGUAUGAUAAGGUCGGUAUCGCGCUUUCUUAUUUGAAAUCUACAGUUGUUUAAGCGUUUCAAAGAGACGCGUGCACUCAAUUUUCUCAGCACGAAAUUUUUAAAAUUCAAAUGUAAUUUAUUCUUAAGUGAUUUUUAUGAUUAUUCACGCUGAUUAAUUUCCAAUCAAUCAAUACCCUUAAUAAAUUAGCUGUUCUUCUCAGGUAAUUUUUGUAAUUAAUUAUAAACAAAUAAUAAUUAGUAUUCAAAGAUGUGAUAUUUAUAAGGCUCGCUGAAAAAAAGAGAUAGGUUCUUAUAACUGGAUGUAUGAGGUCCUGAAAAGAAACUUGUCAGGUUUGCCCUAAUAAAACAAACCUUAUAUUAAACUACCAAAGUCCUUAUGGUACUUUAAGCAAAUCAGGAAGAAAUUCUAGUCGGGAAUUGUUUGUUUCCUGAAUAAAUUAACUCAUUAAAAUAUAAAUCUAUAUAAAUAGGAGGAACGUGGGCAAAACAGGAUAAGAGAAUAAUGGAUUUUUGUACUUUUGAAUAUGGUUACACCACAUUUCCAGCUAUCGUUAAAAAAAAAAAUCAAAUUCCCAGGCAAGCGAAACUUCCGAAAAAAGUUGAAGAAAAUUACAGUCUGUUUCCGAAAAGUCUGACAGCUAGACAAUGAAGGGUGGGAACUUCCUGAAAAUUCAAACAUUGUGUUGCAUGAGGUGAAAGACAGUGUACUUGUAGCAGGGGUCAAGAUUGAGGGGUUGUUGAGACUUAAUGGAAUCAGACUUUUUUGAAUUAGACUGUUGAAAAAAAAUAAAUAAAAUUUUCAAAAUCUUAAUGAAGCGAAGGAUAAACCGUAGUAAUUUAUUAUGAAUAACAAUAACAAACGGUAAAAAUUUCAACUUAUACAAAAAGAAAAAAACAUAAAAUCAUAUACAAAGUUAAAUUAGCGCGGGAACCACCAUUAAAGUCAGAAUAGGAAUAAAGAAAUAAACGAAAAAAAAACAAAGCUAUAACUGGCACAUGGCCUAAUUUUGGAAAACAGCUAAUAAAGAAAAAACAAAAUUUGAAAUUUUUCUAUUUAAUUGUCAACAAUCGGAAAAAUAACACCAAGAGGUUGGAUUAUUUAUUCUAUUCAUCUGUUUAUCGAUUUCCAUAACCUCAAAGAUCAAAUUAAAAGAAACGGAAGGAGUACCGUCAACGGCAACACUUGGUCUCAUUGCUGAUGAUCCUGAUGCUCUAGAAUAUUGUCUAGUUGAUUGAUGUCGUGAUUGGUGACUAAAUGAAAAUGAUCUUUAUUUUGUCUUUGAUAGAUCUGCUUCAAAAGUCUUAUUUUCAUCCUAACGCUGGUGACUUGUGAUUUAGAAAAAUAAAUAUUCAUCAUUUUUAAAAUUGUUGAGUGGGAUAUUAGAAGAGUACAGCGAUUUAUUAUUUUCAAUUCUAGUAGCUGAUGCUAGAGCAUUAAACUAGUGAGAUAAUUAUGUCACAAAUAAAAUACAGAAUUUUAUGAGAUAACGACUGGAAUCGUUUUACAGUAUAUUUAUCAUCAAUUUGAAAUGAAUUUGGAAAUUUGAGUUAAAUAUUAUGUAAAAAAAAAAAUAUUAACGUGAGGCAAAAUCACACUAAUCAUUGACUCGACAUGUGGUAAAUAUAUGAAUUUUUCCCAUACACAUCGUAAAAUAUACUACUCAAUAGCAUGUGCAUCAAGUGCAAUUUCUACUCACAACAUAGUAAAAAUUUAGUUAUUGCCCGUACGGAAAUACAUAUAUGGUCAAAAUAUAUGUAAAAAUUUGUGAUAAAUAUCAGAAAAUAUAUGUGGCCAAUUCAACUAUAUUUUCUGAUAUAUUUUUUUUUAUUUUAAAAAAUAUAACAUUCAUCUUAUACGAAUCCGUAUAUUUUUAGCAAAUAUAAAAUAUAUAUGUCAAUCAUAUACAAAAACUAUAUUUUUAUCAUACAUAAAAAUAUAUUCCGAUCAUAUAUAAAAACAUAUAUUUAUAUUGUGUAUAGAAAAAAAAAGUUUCUUAUUCGUAUGACUCAGUCCAAUUAAAUUAGAUCUAAAUUUUAAUAUACUCUUUAAAUUGCAGAUAAAAUUCUCGAAAUUAGUUAAUUUGAAGCGAAUAUAUAAUAUAUCCAUAUAUAUAUAUAUAUAUAUACAUACACCGAAUAAAAUAUAUGCUCAAAUAUAACAAAGAAAAUAUAUGGUGCCAUAUAUAAUAUAAACUAUAUGCUACCAUAUAUUUCAUUUCAUAUAAAAAUUUUAUAUUUUUUGAAUAUAAAAGGAAAUAUAUCAAUACAAUAUAUUAUAAGGUAAAUGUAAAUGUAUAUAUGGCUUAAU